GGUUUCCCGACCCUACCUAGCUUUUGGACGUCGAAAUCCCGACCCUAAACUUUUUUAUUGGAUUUAUGCUUGUAAGUGUUUCCACUUAGAGGAAAAAGUUUGUGGAAAAUUGAAAUUUGAGGCAAUAUUAGGGAAAUUUAUUUUUGGAUGUGGAAGCACUGACUAAACAAAAUGGCGUCCGCUUGUUCGGAAAAUUAAAAAAAAAGUUUAAAAAAAAAAGUUAAAACCGACCUACCCUACC
rnacentral:lncRNA from 1 species